GCCAGUGUGGUAUAGUGGUUUGAGCAUUGGACUAUGACUCUGAAGACCAGGGUUUGAAUCCUGGCUCAGCCA
rnacentral:tRNA from 1 species